rnacentral:lncRNA from 12 species
UACAAUAUUGUUUCUCCUCUUUGUUUGUUUUCCAGUAAAUACUUAAAUUUGAAAAAAAAAACCAAAAAGACAAAAAAUCACAGAAGCAAAGAAAACGCAGCAGUGAUGCCCAGAAGCAGGUAAGUGCGGGCCUCACACUGAAACGUUCUCCAGCUGAGUUAUGCCCUGAGCCAUGGAAUUCCCACUGCAGAGAGCAGCUCUGCGAGGAUAAGGCCAGUGCUGCCUCCCCAGUAAGUGUGCUUGUUGUUCUGACAUGGAUACCCAUAUUUCCUUCCCCUGUUUGCCGUGCCCUGCUGCCAUCAGGACCAGCCUGCAGCAUCAAGAGCUGGCUGCCCAGCCUCUUUGCCAUCCCUGCAGAAAGGUCUCCCCCAGCCCCUGCACACACUGCCU